AUAGAGUUUGAUCCUGGCUCAGGAUGAACGCUAGCGGCAGGCCUAAUACAUGCAAGACGAACGGUAAGUGGUGUAGCAAUACAUCACCUAGAGUGUCGUAAGGGUGCGUAACAAGUAUGCAAUCUGCCCUCAACUGGAGGAUAGCUCCCCGAAAGGGGAAUUAACACUCCAUAAUAUGUGUGAGCCGGCAUCGGCUAGACAUUAAAACUCCGGUGGUUGGGGAUGAGCAUGCUUCUGAUUAGUUAGUUGGUGGUGUAACGGACCACCAAGACGAUGAUCAGUAGGGGAACUGAGAGGUUGAUCCCCCACACUGGCACUGAGAUACGGGCCAGACUCCUACGGGAGGCAGCAGUAGGGAAUAUUGGUCAAUGGAUGCAAGUCUGAACCAGCCAUGCCGCGUGCAGGAAGAAGGCCUUCUGGGUUGUAAACUGCUUUUAUCUGGGGAUAAAAAGGGGGUGCGCCCCCAACUGAAGGUACCAGAUGAAUAAGCCACGGCUAACUACGUGCCAGCAGCCGCGGUAAUACGUAGGUGGCAAGCGUUGUCCGGAUUUGUUGGGUUUAAAGGGUGCGUAGGCGGUCUACUAAGUCAGUGCUGAAUAUCCCGGCUUAACCGGGAGGGUGGCAUUGAUACUGAUGGACUUGAGUGCAGUCGAGGUAGGCGGAAUUGACGGUGUAGCGGUGAAAUGCUUAGAUAUCGUCAAGAACACCGAUAGUGAAGACAGCUUACUAGACUGUAACUGACGCUGAGGCACGAAAGUGUGGGGAUCAAACAGGAUUAGAUACCCCGGUAGUCCACGCCAUAAACGAUGAGAACUAGACGUUGAGAGGGUAAGCCUCGCAGUGUCGCAGCUAACGCGUUAAGUUCUCCGCCUGGGGAGUACGGUCGCAAGGUUGAAACUCAAAGGAAUUGACGGGGACCCGCACGAGCGGUGGAGCAUGUGGUUUAAUUCGAUGCAACGCGAAGAACCUUACCUGGUCUUGACAUCCUGGGAACCCUGCAGAGAUGCGGGGGUGCCUUCGGGAACCCAGAGACAGGUGCUGCAUGGCUGUCGUCAGCUCGUGUCGUGAGAUGUUGGGUUAAGUCCCGCAACGAGCGCAACCCUUGUCCUUAGUUGCCAUCAUUUAGUUGGGAACUCUAAGGAGACCGCCGGUGACAAACCGGAGGAAGGUGGGGAUGACGUCAAGUCAUCAUGGCCUUUAUGACCAGGGCUACACACGUGCUACAUUGGUAGGUACAGAGGGAAGCCAACGCGCGAGCGGGAGCCAAUCCCAGAAAGCCUAUCGUAGUCCGGAUCGGAGUCUGCAACUCGACUCCGUGAAGUCGGAAUCGCUAGUAAUCGCAGAUCAGCAUUGCUGCGGUGAAUACGUUCCCGGGUCUUGUACACACCGCCCGUCACACCAUGGGAGUUGAUUGCACCAGAAGCAGGUAGCCUAACCGCAAGGAGGGCGCCUACCACGGUGUGGUCAAUGACUGGGGUGAAGUCGUAACAAGGUAACCAAUC
rnacentral:rRNA from 1 species